rnacentral:rRNA from 1 species
UACGAAGGGGGCUAGCGUUGCUCGGAAUCACUGGGCGUAAAGCGCACGUAGGCGGCUUUCUAAGUCAGGGGUGAAAUCCUGGAGCUCAACUCCAGAACUGCCCUUGAUACUGGAGAGCUUGAGUUCGGGAGAGGUGAGUGGAACUGCGAGUGUAGAGGUGAAAUUCGUAGAUAUUCGCAAGAACACCAGUGGCGAAGGCGGCGCACUGGCCCGAUACUGACGCUGAGGUGCGAAAGCGUGGGGAGCAAACAGG